CCUACGGGAGGCAGCAGUAGGGAAUCUUCCGCAAUGGACGAAAGUCUGACGGAGCAACGCCGCGUGAACGAUGAAGGCCUUCGGGUCGUAAAGUUCUGUUGUUAGGGAAGAACAAGUGCUAGUUGAAUAAGCUGGCACCUUGACGGUACCUAACCAGAAAGCCACGGCUAACUACGUGCCAGCAGCCGCGGUAAUACGUAGGUGGCAAGCGUUGUCCGGAAUUAUUGGGCGUAAAGCGCGCGCAGGCGGUUUCUUAAGUCUGAUGUGAAAGCCCCCGGCUCAACCGGGGAGGGUCAUUGGAAACUGGGAAACUUGAGUGCAGAAGAGGAAAGUGGAAUUCCAAGUGUAGCGGUGAAAUGCGUAGAGAUUUGGAGGAACACCAGUGGUGAAGGCGACUUUCUGGUCUGUAACUGACGCUGAGGCGCGAAAGCGUGGGGAGCAAACAGGAUUAGAUACCCUGGUAGUCCACGCUGUAAACGAUGAGUGCUAAGUGUUAGAGGGUUUCCGCCCUUUAGUGCUGAAGUUAACGCAUUAAGCACUCCGCCUGGGGAUACGGUCGCAAGACUGAAACUUAAANGAAAUUGACGG
rnacentral:rRNA from 1 species